CAGGGGAAUUUCUUUGGGGAAAAUGCCUCAAGAAGUCCCCUGCCUGCAGACCCCAACAGCAGGAGAGCCAGCAGCAGCACAUCCUGCAUGCCCAGAGAUGGGAGAGCAAAUGGAAUAAUGCAUAUUUCAGAACAUCCUCUCAGGGAAACUGUAGCACCACAGAGAGGCAGUUUAGCCCCAGACAAAUAUGAAAUGUAGCACCAGAGAAACUAAGGUCAGAAGAACAGCUUA